GACGAACGCUGGCGGCGUGCUUAACACAUGCAAGUCGAACGGAAAGGCCCUGCUUGCAGGGUACUCGAGUGGCGAACGGGUGAGUAACACGUGGGUGACCUGCCCUGCACUUCGGGAUAAGCUUGGGAAACUGGGUCUAAUACCGGAUAGGAACCAUCUUUAGUGUGGUGGUUGGAAAGUUUUUUCGGUGUAGGAUGAGCUCGCGGCCUAUCAGCUUGUUGGUGGGGUAAUGGCCUACCAAGGCGGCGACGGGUAGCCGGCCUGAGAGGGUGUACGGCCACAUUGGGACUGAGAUACGGCCCAGACUCCUACGGGAGGCAGCAGUGGGGAAUAUUGCACAAUGGGCGCAAGCCUGAUGCAGCGACGCCGCGUGGGGGAUGAAGGCCUUCGGGUUGUAAACUCCUUUCGCUAGGGACGAAGCUUUGUUGUGACGGUACCUAGAGAAGAAGCACCGGCUAACUACGUG
rnacentral:rRNA from 1 species